rnacentral:miRNA from 1 species
CUUUCUUCUUCUUCUUCUCA